GCUAAAUAGCUAGCUUAAACACCACAUUAAAUUAACAACAUAAAUAAAUUAACAAAACCUAAAAUUACCAAUUAAAUCAUUUUUCCACCUAAGUACGGGAGACGAAAAAG
rnacentral:rRNA from 1 species